AACGCUGACAGAAUGCUUAACACAUGCAAGUCGAUGAUGGGAGCUAGCUUGCUAGAAGAAGUCAUGGCGGACGGGUGAGUAACGUGUAAAGAACUUACCAUAUAGACUGGGAUAACAGAGGGAAACUUCUGAUAAUACUGGAUAAGUUAGAAGUAGCAUUACUAAGUAAUGAAAGGUAGCAAUACGCUAUAUGAGAGCUUUGCAUCCUAUUAGCUAGUUGGUGGGGUAAAAGCCUACCAAGGCGAUGAUAGGUAGCCGGCCUGAGAGGGUGGACGGCCACAAGGGGACUGAGAUACGGCCCUUACUCCUACGGGAGGCAGCAGUGGGGAAUAUUGGACAAUGGAGGCAACUCUGAUCCAGCAAUUCUGUGUGUGUGAAGAAGGUUUUAGGACUGUAAAACACUUUUAGUAGGGAAGAAAGAAAUGACGGUACCUACAGAAGAAGCGACGGCUAAAUACGUGCCAGCAGCCGCGGUAAUACGUAUGUCGCGAGCGUUAUCCGGAAUUAUUGGGCUUAAAGGGCAUCUAGGCGGUUAAACAAGUUGAAGGUGAAAACCUGUGGCUCAACCAUAGGCUUGCCUACAAAACUGUAUAACUAGAGUACUGGAAAGGUGGGUGGAACUACACGAGUAGAGGUGAAAUUCGUAGAUAUGUGUAGGAAUGCCGAUGAUGAAGAUAACUCACUGGACAGCAACUGACGCUGAAGUGCGAAAGCUAGGG
rnacentral:rRNA from 1 species